AGAGUGAACGCUGGCGGCAGGCCUAAUACAUGCAAGUCGAACGGCAGCACGGCAGAGCUUGCUCUGUGGGUGGCGAGUGGCGGACGGGUGAGGAAUACAUGGGAAUCUGCCCAGUCGUGGGGGAUAACGUAGGGAAACUUACGCUAAUACCGCAUGCGCCCUUCGGGGGAAAGCCGGGGACCUUCGGGCCUGGCGCGAUUGGAUGAGCCCAUGUCGGAUUAGCUAGUUGGUGAGGUAAUGGCUCACCAAGGCGACGAUCCGUAGCUGGUCUGAGAGGAUGAUCAGCCACACUGGAACUGAGACACGGUCCAGACUCCGUAGGGAGCAGCA
rnacentral:rRNA from 1 species